CCGUGCCUCUUCCACGCGCCGCACGCGCAGCUCCCUGUGCGCCCACGUGCUCCACGCGCCCGGGAUGCUCGCCGCGCCGCUCGGCCCCUGCCCGACCCGUCCCGUCGCCCUGUGCCGCCUCGCCGCUCGCGCCGCCGCUCCGCGACACCGAGCGCCAUUAAUGGCUGCCGAGAUGCUCGCCGGCCGCCGGCCACCAUGCCCCACCCUCUCCACCGCCUCCCAGCGCCUAUAAAUAGGCCGGCGCGCAGCCCUCGACCACCACAAGCCGCCUAGCCCCGCUACUCGCCAUCUUCCUCCCUGAACCGAGCUCUCUGCUCCUCCACUCAAGAAAGGGGCGCUGCCUCGAUCUCCCUCUCCGAGCCGUCCCUGCCCGAGCUCACGGUGUGAUCGAGGGAGAACCCGUCGAGGAGUUUGCCGAGCAGUACCGCGAGCCGGAGCCAGAAGACCCGUACCGCGAGCCGGAGAUCCCGGAAGGAUUCGAAGAUAGCAAGUUCAAUCUCAUCCUUUGAUGCAUACUUUGUCCUAGUUUUAUAAACACAACCUAUUGGCCUGUUUUACAAAUUGCAUAUUCUUUUACUGCUGAAACACGGUUGGAUAGCCACCCCUUGACUUGUUAUAAUCAUUCCUUAAUCACCUAGAUUAAUGUCUAAAUAUGAUUCGUUAUAUUUGGAUAUUAAUCGCUGCUAGAAUUGCUUAGGACCUUAUACCCGUUCUACUACAUAUCAAAUAUGGUGUGAUUGUUUAUAAAAGAAAAUGUGUGAGUGUGUAGGGAGGGAAAAGGUGGAUUUGUUGGAAAAUAAAUGAAAGAUGUGUUUUAACGAUAUGGAUGGCAUUUCUGUGUGAGGUGCCAAAAGGUGUGCUUGACCCGGUGUGGUUGAGCAAGGUUGGGAGAUGUCCAUCUUGUCACAGUUAAAGACCGAGUUGUUGUGACAUCUUGCCUAACCCAAUCCAUCGUGCAACCACUCGACCGUUGUAUGUGUCAACGGCUUAGCAUAAAUCCCACUAGCUGGCUUGUUAGUCAUCAGGAGAGCUGAGAGCAACGGGUGGCCAAGGAGACGGGAUAGGAUCUUGGUGACUUAUGCCCCGGUUAGUCCUCGUUGGUAGGGUAACCCCUUGGUGGAGUCCGUGUUGGCUAGCCAGGCUCAGCUAAGGUGGGUAAUGGCUUUGUUGGGAUCCGCACCGGCACCAAGAUGAUCGUGCUGCGGUACCCUACUUGUGGGUAAAGUGUACAACAUCUACAGAGUGUAAAACCUAUUCGAAUAGCCGUGCUCACGGUAUUGAGCGGGUUAUGGUUUGGUCACAUAACUAGCGUUUUUCUGGAGAUGGUUGGGAUGGUGUGAGUUAUUUUUUUUGAAAAGUGUUCGGCAGCAGUGUCGUGCGCUACUGCGGAUGAGGAGUCCGGUAGCAGUUCUUAAAAUUUGGAUCCUGUGAGGAUCAACCCCAUUGUAUUGCUCGGCUACGAUAAGAAAUGCUUUAUGAAAACUCUUCUUUCAAAAGCAAACCCUUGCAUAAAAUUAGCUUUAUCGCAAAUUAACCGAUAGCCUUUUCCUUGAUUAGUCCCCUGCAUGUAUUCUGUGUUAUCACCCUCCGUGGGUGGGGUUGGACUUGUUGAGUACGUAUGUACUCACUCUUGCUUAGGUUUUACAGAAAAAGAUCCAGACUUCGUGCCCGAAGACGUUAAGUAGGUGAUCGUCCUGCACCCAACCUUACCUGUGGUUUGGGGUCUCCACAGGAAGCUUCUAAUGGCGCAAGAGGCAAAACUCUGAUGUUAUCUUAGAUUUCGUUCACAUUUUAGUUUGGCUUGUAGUACUUAUGUUGUCCCUCGUGAUAGUGGUGCUUCAGUGCCCACUACCUCGACGGUUUGUACGGUAAUGAACCAUCUGAUGUAAUAAAUGUGUUAUCAGCCUCCUGAGACUGAUAUUUGUAUCACAUUUAAGUCACCUCUUAUGAGGGGAUGCUUCA